GCCGGUGUGAUGGAAUGGUAGACGUAGCGGAUUCAAAAUCCGCCGGGGGCAACUCCGUGUGGGUUCGAGUCCCACCACCGGCACCA
rnacentral:tRNA from 1 species